CCUACGGGGGGCUGCAGUCGAGAAUUUUUCUCAAUGGGGGAAACCCUGAAGGAGCGACGCCGCGUGGAGGAUGAAGGUCUUCGGAUUGUAAACUCCUGUCAUGAGGGAGUAAGGCGCGCCGUUAACUGCGGUGGCGUUUGAUAGUACCUCAAGAGGAAGGGACGGCUAACUCUGUGCCAGCAGCCGCGGUAAUACAGAGGUCCCAAGCGUUGUUCGGAUUCAUUGGGCGUAAAGGGUGCGUAGGCGGGAUGGUAAGUCAGAUGUGAAAUUUCAGGGCUCAACCUUGAAACUGCAUUUGAUACUGCCGUUCUUGAGUGCUGGAGGGGAGACUGGAAUUCACGGUGUAGCAGUGAAAUGCGUAGAUAUCGUGAGGAAGACCAGUGGCGAAGGCGAGUCUCUGGACAGCAACUGACGCUGAGGCACGAAGGCUAGGGGAGCAAACGGGAUUAGAUACCCCGGUAGUC
rnacentral:rRNA from 1 species